rnacentral:rRNA from 1 species
UACAGAGACUGCAAGCGUUAUUCGGAUUCGCUGGGCGUAAAGGGUGCGCAGGCGGCCAAGUGUGUGAGGCGUGAAAGCCUGGGGCUUAACUCCAGAAUUGCACCUCAAACUACAUGGCUAGAGCAUUGGAGAGGGUAGCAGAAUUCACGGUGUAGCAGUGAAAUGCGUAGAUAUCGUGAGGAAUACCAGAGGCGAAGGCGGCUACCUGGACAAUUGCUGACGCUCAGGCACGAAAGCGUGGGGAGCAAAAGGG